rnacentral:rRNA from 1 species
UGGGGAAUAUUGCACAAUGGGCGAAAGCCUGAUGCAGCGACGCCGCGUGAGGGAUGACGGCCUUCGGGUUGUAAACCUCUUUCAGCAGGGACGAAGCGCACGUGACGGUACCUGCAGAAGAAGCACCGGCCAACUACGUGCCAGCAGCCGCGGCAAUACGUAGGGUGCGAGCGUUGUCCGGAAUUAUUGGGCGUAAAGGGCUCGUAGGCGGUCUGUUGCGUCGGGAGUGAAAACUCAGGGCUUAACCCUGAGCCUGCUUCCGAUACGGGCAGACUAGAGGUAUGCAGGGGAGAACGGAAUUCCUGGUGUAGCGGUGAAAUGCGCAGAUAUCAGGAGGAACACCGGUGGCGAAGGCGGUUCUCUGGGCAUUACCUGACGCUGAGGAGCGAAAGUGUGGGGAGCGAAC